ensembl:lncRNA
UGGCACUGACAGGGGCUCCCGACCAUUUGGCUCUUGAUUCUUCAGGGAAAGCAGCUGUAGAGAAAGGGGCAUACACAACACCGGCGUCACCCGCGCACUCACACGCGCGCACCCUCGUUCGCACGCAUUCCGGUACCGUCACCUCGGAGCCAGCCAGCCUUGGGAUCCAAAUCCAGUUCGGCUGCCUUCCGCCACCGGCACUCCAGUCGUCGUCCCCCACGAGCCUCCCUGCCCCCUGCUCCUGAUUCCCUUUCAGGAAUUUACAAACAUUUUCCACAGAUCAAUAUCUGUAUUGAUUAUUCAUUGUGAGGGAGUCGUGUGUCUUUGGUGAUCCAGCUUGCAGAGGUAGCAGCCAAAGCCUGCUGCAGGGGAGAAAAAACAACAGAAGGCGAGAGGGACCCAGCUCUUGCUGGGUCUGCGGCUGUCGGCAACACAGAAAGGAAGAAAGAGGAAGGCGCUGGCAAACGAAGGAGCGGAUGAGGGUGGAGGAGAAAGAGGGAGCAACAGCAAGAAAGACGAAGCCAUGGCUGCACACCUGGUCCCAGGGCUUGGCUGGGAGGAAGCCCCCAUCUUGUGUCUGCUGUUCCGCUCACGGUGCCCUGGGCUCCCUCUGCUUGGGGAGCCAGAAGUGACUCACAGUUUUGGCAUCUCCUACGUAAGAGCUUUGGGGGGAUUCCUUGGCUUGCUGACAGGAGAGGAAGAAAGCAGCAGCAGUGAGGUAAAACACGAUUACUUCCAACUGCCUGGCGGAGGACACGCAGUCGCUUGGCUUGCCUGGAACAGCUUGCAGCUCUGUGAUGGCACGCGGAGGGAGAAUAAUUAAAAAGGCCAGCAUCACUUACUAAAUACCUCAGUACAUUGCAAGUUUCCUGAGCAGGAGACAUACAUCCUGCAGAAGUGUGCCUUGGAGACUCAAAGGAGGAGAAAUUAAGCCAGUUGUGGAUGACUCGGAUAUCUUACACUGCAUGUCUUCAGCAUUCAUAGAGACCUAUGUCUGUAGGGUCUGUGUGUGUGUGUGUGUGUGUGUGUGUGUGCAUGUGACAGCAUCAUGUGGAGUGUGUGCUCACAUGUGUAUGGCUCUGUGGUCUGUGUGUCUUUAGAGAGGAAGGCAGAGAGUGAAGUCAGAGCAGACGGAAUGUUGGGGCAUUUAGGUAAUUCAUGCAGAGACUGUUCAACGCUGCAAGGCAGACCGCCACCCAUUCCUGGACUCUGCUGCUCUGGAGGGCCUGUACGGACCUGAUCUGAAUGUUAAAUGCAGGAGAUGAAAUUAGCAUACUAACCAAGGAUGUCAACCCCUCCCUGCAAUCAGUAAAUGGCCGUCUCCUCUCUUUAAAGCCGGCACUGCUAUGCGUGCCAGCCACUUAACCAUGUCCUCCAUCAGGUCCCUUUUUGUGUUUGUUUUUUUGUUUUUGUUUUUUGAUGAAAGACUGGAAAUUCAUUAAUGAGGAGGGAAGGAAGGGCUUCAAGGGGCUCUAAUGAAAACAAAUGAUCCUCUUUAAAUCUCAUGUCGGCCAAAGCCGAGGUUGUGGGGGUGGGGGGGUGGUGGUGUUGCUUUCUGUUCUGGGGCUGGAGAAUAGGAAAUUCCACAGACAACAGACCACUUGACAAGAGCCCAAGAAUGCACUGCUUGGGAAUUUCUUCUGUGUCACAAAGACCGGCCAUGGCCAGUAAGUCUGUGUUAAUAAAACUGAGAAUGAGCUUUAUCUUCUGAACUGUAAAGUGUGGUCUACCAGAUGCCUUUGCAUGCCGUC